UUUUGUACCAAACCGCGGGGGUGUCAAAGUUGAGGUAGGUGCGAGAAAUGACGGCAUCCAUAUAGUAAUCGUUCAUUGUCUCUCAGCUGCUUCAUCUGUGACAUGGCUACGCUAUUUUUUUCACUU
rnacentral:pre_miRNA from 15 species